rnacentral:misc_RNA from 1 species
CAACCCUCAAGCUCAGCUUGGUAUUGGGUGUCAUCUAGUUAGGUGUACCUUAAAAUUAGUGGCGGUGCCAUCUGGCUUCAAGCGUAGUAAAUUUCUCGCUUUGGAGGUUUAGAUGUGUGUUUGCCAUCAACACACUAUUUUUCAAUGG